CAGCAGCAUCCAGGGCUGAGGUUCUGGGGGUCCGCCAGGGACUGGGACUGCUUCGGCUCAAAGGCAGCCAGGCAGGGGCCGGGAAAAAGGAGCAAGUGGUGCCCUGGGUUACUACAGACUUUGCCCACAUGUCUGCAGGGGCAGGGACCCAGUGCACACCUCCCGGAUGUCCAGGAGCAGACACAGAGUUCAGUGGAUGGGCUCCUCCGACACCCUGAGCUGCUCAGGAAAUAAUAAACACAAGAAAUGGCGAGUCACUCCCAGAAAAAGGUAAAUAAAUGCCAAGGAGAGGAGACGGAUCAGCCCUGGCCGUCACAUGAAAUAACCAGGACAGCACAGAAGAAAGAGCACGCAUUUUUGAGGCAGACAGACCUGAUUUAAAAUCUAGAUUUGGCCACCAACUUGCUGUGUAGCCUUUAGACAAGUUUCUUAAACCUCCACACAUCUGCUUCCCCUGGCUCAGUGAAAUGAGAGUAUCAAUGGUAUUUGCUUCAUGCCUGUUUUGAGAUCCGCAAGGUCUCAUCCCUGAGAAGCAAGCACCAAGAGUGUUCUGGUGAACGCGUUGUCAUCACCGCUGCAGCCACCAGCUCUCAAGCCAGCCCUGGAUCUCCUUGUCCCGGGAACUGCUCCCCCUCUGAAUCUGAGCAGCGGCUUCCGAGGCUCUGACCCCUCUCUCUGCUGCCUGCCUGCUGGCCCUAGGGCCUCAAGCCGCGAUUCCUCAACCCUGCUGAGACCAGCAAGCCAUUGAUCCACACUGCCUUCUCACUCGCCAUCAACCAGCUCAUGUCUCAAGAUUCUUAUUAAUUUGAAUGAAAUUUCCAGUAUUCAACCAUUUUGAUCUACACAAUGGCUAUUUGAUAAGGCUCAAACCAAUCAUAAAAAUACAGCAAUUUGUCGUAGUGGCUCACGCCUGGAAUCCCAGCACUUUGGGAGGCCGAAGCAGGUGGAU